rnacentral:lncRNA from 10 species
ACAUGUCAACAACAUCAACAAAUAGAAAGCAUUCCUCCAUUCAUCACUCCUUCUGGGAAGAAGUAGACUAAGAGGUAAGAAGCAACUAAUUUUUCAUGGGAUUUGAAACUAAGUAGGUGAAUCUGAAGUCUGCGCUGCUUCCAUUCCAUCCCAUUGUCUCUUCUGAGGGAGAAAGCUUCUAAGGGAGAAAGCCUUUGGGGCUUGCUGGUGAUCUUUUUCUACACAAAAAGUUUUCAAACAAAAGGAACAAAAGAAGCCAGAGUCUUUAGAGUACACACUCCGUACUUCCAUUAAAUAAAUUUCAACAACAGGUCAAAGCAUGUAUCUUGCAACCUUCUUUGAAUAAGGCUCAGUGCAAAGCUGGGGCCAGUGACCUUGACCUUCCUUCAUCCCUAUCUAUCAAGGAUUUUUUGUGAGCAUAAGAGGCAGCAA